GACGAACGCUGGCGGCGUGCUUAACACAUGCAAGUCGAACGGAAAGGCCCUGCUUGCCGGGUGCUCGAGUGGCGAACGGGUGAGUAACACGCGGGUGAUCUGCCCCUUACUUUGGGAUAAGCCUUGGAAACUGGGUCUAAUACUGGAUAGGACCACGCCGUCUGCGUGGUGGUGGUAAGAUUAGUUUCGGGGAGGGGUGAGCGCGCGGCCGAUUAGCUUGUUGGUGGGGGGUUGGCCUAUCAAGGCGUCGACGGGUAGCCGGCCUGAGAGGGUGGACGGCCACAUUGGGACUGAGAUGCGGCCCAGAAGCCUACGGGAGGAAGCAGUGGGGAAUAUUGCACAAUGGGGGCAAGCCGGAUGCAGCGACGCCGCGGGGGGGAUGACGGCCUUCGGGUUGUAAACUCCUUUCAGCCAUGACGAAGCCCUUGUGGUGACGGUAGUGGUAGAAGAAGCACCGGCUAACUACGUG
rnacentral:rRNA from 1 species